CGUUUUUUUCCUAUAGGUUCUUAUCAAAAAGUUAUUGGUAAUGAUUAUCUGAUAUCUAUAUCACAACCAGCAACUAGCAGAGCAAUAAAAGCAGUAGUGAUGGGUAUCACGCAAUUGCUUGCCAUUGAGUGGAGCAAAUUCCCAAACACAGAGGAAAAACGAGCAGCUUUAAAAGAAAAAUUUCAAAAGGAAAGGAAUUUUAAAGGAGUAAUAGGUUGCAUAGAUUGCACUCAUGUCGCUAUUGUGAGACCAAAACAUCACGAGGAAUCAUAUACAAACCUUAAAAGGUUUCCAUUCAAUUAAUGUACAGGCAAUAGCGUCACACGAUUUGGAAAUCUUAAACGUCAAUGCUAGAUUUCCUGGAAGUGUCCAUGACAGCUUUAUAUGGAGACAUUCUACCAUAGGAGACGAAAUGCAACGAUUAUAUGAUUCUGGAGAUCGAACAACAUGGCUUUUGGAUAAGUAUCACGAUUAUUUUAUAUUUAUUUACCUAAUAAUGUACAUAAAAAUGUUUAUUUGAUU